UUGGAGGGCAAGUCUGGUGCCAGCAGCCGCGGUAAUUCCAGCUCCAAUAGCGUAUAUUAAAGUUGUUGAGGUUAAAAAGCUCGUAGUUGAACCUUGGGCCUAGCCGGCCGGUCCGCCUCACCGCGUGCACUGGCUCGGCUGGGUCUUUCCUUCUGGAGAACCGCAUGCCCUUCACUGGGUGUGCCGGGGAACCAGGACUUUUACUCUGAAUAAAUUAGAUCGCUUAAAGAAGGCCUAUGCUCGAAUACAUUAGCAUGGAAUAAUAGAAUAGG
rnacentral:rRNA from 1 species